CCAGCCCCUGUCCCUGCACCUCUUGGAGAGCAGCCUCACCCCCGGGACCUGUGGUCUCCAUUUGCCCCAGGAAUCAACUCAGAGGAAGCACCAUGAAGUGUGAUCUGAGCUGGGCUCUUGCUUUCAUGCUCUUAUAUGGUGUCCAGUGUGAGGUGCAACUGGAGGAGUCUGGGGGAGGCUUGGUGCCACCUGGAGGGUCUCUAAGACUCAGAUGUGCGGCCUCUGGAUUCACAUUUAGUAGCUACAGGAUGAACUGGGUCCGCCAGGCUCCAGGGAAGGGGCUGGAGUGGGUCUCACACAUUAAUGAGGAUGGAAGUAGCACAUACUACGCUGACUCUGUGAAGGGCCGAUUCACCAUCUCCAAAGACAAUGCCAAGAACAUGCUGUAUCUGCAAAUGAACAGCUUGAAAUCCCAGGACACUGCUGUGUAUUACUGUGUAAGAGACACACACACAGUGAGGGUAAUUCAGUGUGAGCCCAGACACAAACCUCCCUGCAGAAAAUGCUGUGUCCACCAGGGGAUGCUCAGGGACCCUGAACACAAGGACUAUCCCAACAGCACGUGCAAUUGGAGGUUUGGGCUGGUUUCCUGUGUGGUUUCCUCUUCAUGUCACAGUUUCCAUCAGGGAAAAUCCAGGAAUCUCUGGAUUCUUAACUCUGUAUGUACUUGUGAAGUCUCUGAGAUAGAAACAUCUGUUGUAAACAGAUAA